UGGAUCCUUAAUAGGUAGAAGAGCAGGAGAGAGAGAAAUCGGAGCAAACACAAUUUUGGGAUUUUGUAGUGGCCUCCCAUUGCAACACUAUUCAGGCCUAACUACUUAGCUUUGAGCCCAGACAAGGUUGACCAGGUGCUACUACUUACAGAGAAAUCAUAGUGAGCAUUAUACUCUCCAGGGAAUCAGGACUGCGCAUAUCUUUUAAGUUGGAUGAGACCCAGAUUGUGCCUUCUUCAUUGGUGACAACUUCAGGGAGACGUGCCUGCUAGCAAGCAAGGGGCAUCGUUCCAAAGUCUUCCCUGAGAAACUACAAGCAGGAGCUUGCCGAGCCUGAAGUUAGAAGGCUAGCCUGCGAAGGAUCAAAACGAAGGAGCCGUGGUGGCUACACUGUGCAAGAAAGAGGCAGACAAGAAGUUGUGAGAAGCAGCCAGAAGGUGCCACCAUGUGAAUUUUCUGCCCAAGGUUUGCAGGGCUGCCAGACUCUCUGGCAGCUUGCUUUGCUCAAGCAAGAAACUUCGCUUUCUCUG